AAAAACUCACGUCAGAAGAAUUAUGUCGUGACUCCAACUGAUCGAUAAGAUGUCUGUUUUAAGACGGUCGAGAGGUUGAGCUUUUUUAAUCAAUCCAUUCAUUCAUCUUUGCCUGGAUUUUGCUUGUUGUCAUGGAGGUGGCGAGGACAAGUUUAGGCAUUAUUUUGCCAUUAGUCUCUCAUUAUUUUUAUUAUAAGUGUUUACGGACUACGUCUUCUUAACGUACCGAGUUCCCACGCUACUCUGACAUCGCCUCAGCCGCCGGCGCUUCCUGCUCAUUGACGGGGCGGUUACUAAAUCAAGUCCGUGGUUUAGCGUUGAGGCCUUGAAAAAGCUCUCGCUUUUUGCAGGUAUUUUUGUUUUUCACUCGUGCUGUUUGCAAAUAAAUCUUCCCUCUGUACGUUUUUUGGAUCCUGUCACCAAUUGUUCACGUCUGUGCUGCACCAUCCUUUUCUGUUCUUGUAGUGUGAAGAUUAACUGCCUCCUUCGGUUUAUUUCGGAAGACGGACUUUUCUAACGUUGUUCAUCAGGAGUGCAAGAGGAUGCUUCAGGUUCCCUUGCCCCUUGAUCGUGAACCCAGUCCGUUCAGACUGAGGUUUACUGUCUUCGCAGUUGGCACUGUCUGUCUGCCUCUCUUUGGGUUUUUGUCCUGUGUUUUUGUUUCACUGUGCUUUCAUUUUAAAGAAUCAACGGCUACUCAUUGUGGUGUGCCAAAUUAUUUACCCUCCAUUAGUGCAGCUAUAGGAGGGGAAACCCCAGAAAGAUACAUCUGGCGCUUUUGCAUUGGUUUGCACUCUGCUCCACGCUUUCUGUUGUCAGUGACAUAUUGGAAUCAUUAUCGUUUUUUGUCACUUGAAAGACGUUAUCAGCUGUUCUGCCAUGUCAACCUGGUAUUGAGUAUCUUAGAAAAUCUAGGACUUCUGAUAUUAACGUAUGUUUCUUCAGCAGAAAAUUACGUUAUCCAUAAAUAUGCCUUCAUCCUCUUCAUGCUUUCUGCUCUGAGUUAUAUGGGACUUACUUGCAAGCUUUGGCGAAUGGCUAAGAAAAAUACAGUAAGUUCAGAGGCCCUGACCUCCUAUACAUGGAAGAAUCGCCUUUUCAUGAUCAAUUUGACUUUUUUUUUGCUUUCCCUUGUGUCCUUUGUUAGACACAACAGCUACUGUGAGCCAGGAGUGAUGACAACACAAGUGAAAUUGAGCCAUACUGACCAUUACCAAGUAACCGCAGUGCUGGUGCUUACGUCGAUAACGACCUUCUCGGCCUUCAGACUGCAUGCAGAAGUGAUCGAAAUAGGUAAUUUACAAUGAAAAGGCCCAGUUGUAAGUGGCAAUAAAGAUGGAGCUCCUCUUGCAGAGCAGCAAGGACGAUUUUACCAGAGAGAAAGAAGACUGAAAUAUUAGCCUUUACAUUAAAGAAAAUGGAGUAAUAAACUGAGAAAAACGGAAUCGGAGAAGUCAUCCUGUGCAAUUAGAGAAACGGCAGCUUUUCCAAGAGUGGAUCAUGACAGCAACAGGCACAAAGUUGGAACCUAGAUAAUAUAUCAAUGUGUUGCAAAGCACAUACUUUCUCACUGGACAAACUGUGAGCCCCCAGAGUGUCUAACAACACAUCAAAGGCCUGGAAGGAAGACAUAGGCACCAAAAAACUGGUAACCCAUAAAAUUAAAAUAAAUCAUGCAGGAACUAAAUGGCGAAUACAAUAUGUACAAUAAAGAUACAACAGGGAUCAAAAUACUCUAAAUUAUGAUGCUGUGAGUAUUAUGUCUCCUUCAUCUUUGACAAAACACACACAAUCCCACAACAACAAUAAUGACCCUGUAAACAAUUGCCGUGACAGAACAGAUAUUUUUGGCAUAUUGAUGACAUUCUCCAAUUGAAAUAAUUGGAAUGGUUACUAGUUAGGAAUUAAGUCUACUUCUGACACAUGAUACAAAAGAAAGUACAACAAUGCAGUGCUUGUUAAAUGUUUCGCUUGCAGAUCACCAGCAAGCUGCAAAAUGUAAAUUAAUAUAAACAUUCCCUUUCUUUAUGGGAGUCCUGAUGAUCAAAAACAAUGUUAAGAAAAAUUAAUUAUUUUUUUAUUGUGGCAAGUCUUCCAAACCAUCCAUCUAAUCUCUGGACUCACUUUCUUAAACACUAAAGUUAUGGAGUAAAGGAGGCAGAGCCUGUUGUAGCAGCAUUAGCUACAAAUCAGGAACCAAUAAAGGGCAGGACACCAGUCUACUACUGGGCAAAUGAACCUGACCUGUAUGUAUCUGAAAUCAAAACUGGAACACCAGAGGAAAAAAAUAUGAAAACAUGCAAAUUACACAAAGAUAAUGACAAAGCCAAGAUUCAAAUCCAGUCUGUGUGAGCUGUAAGGAAGCGACACUGCUGUUAAAAUUAGUUCAUAUGUAAAUGAAAACUAUAAGGAAUUCAUUCAAAUUUCCUUGAAGCUACUGAAUACCCUAUUGCAGAAUACAAAGUUUCCUGAGUGACCCUGAGAAUCAUUUUAUUUAGUGUACACUGCUAUUAAUGUUAAGAUGUGUGACACUGUGGAUGUUUUGCAUGCUUUACUUUAAUUUCAUGUUAUUAAGCAACACCGAUACAAAAUAAGUUGUGUAAAGAGAUUAGAGUUCAUGAAUGUAUUAAUAGUUACCUGCUUCAAUAUGAAUCAGUUUGGAGUAAUGUACUGAUUUUCCUGCAACAAUUACUUAAUCCUUUUUAUUAAAUAUUAGUAACACUGCAUAAAAGAAUAACACAUUUUUUGUAUUUGCCUACCACAAAAGAAAUCUGAAAAAUAUCUUAUUCUACAAGAUUAAAAUAAGUAAAAUAAAAUUAACAAAAACAGAACAUAAUAUGGUUAUUAGAAUGAAAUGUGUCAGAAGGGUGAAUUUCAUAUUACUUUUGGUAAAAGAGUUACCUUUGUUAUUAUUUGACUAACACUUAUCCAAGGUGACUUUUGAGAUAAAACUGGCUACAUUUCUUUUAUUCUUCCACUUGAUGUUCAUGGCCACACAGUGUUAGAAACAGGAUUUGAAACCACAACACCUUAGAGUCUGUGGUCCGGCGCUUUAACCACAAUGCCACACUGCCUGCCUGACAAAGCCUCUGACAAAAUAUCACAAAGCAUUUAACAGCAAUUUUUUUUUUAACCAGUGAUGCUAUGGUCACUGGGUUUGACUUGUCCCAGUCAUUGUUUUCUGUGGAGUUUGCCUUUUCUUGUGCCCGUGUGUUUUUUCUAUUUCCUCAGAUAUAUGCUGGUCAUGUGACAGAAUGGCAUCUCUUUUUGGUUAUUUCAUGCUUUGUGUCCAAUGCUGCCAGGACUAAGCAGAUUGGUAAAAUUGAUUAAAUAAUGUAAGAAAACAUCACAAAUAUUUUGUCAACAUUUCUGCAUGAAAAUUUAAAGGCUUCAAAAUUUUAAAAUGAACUUAAAAAUGCAUUUGCUUUGUUAAUGAAAACACUUUAUGGCCUAAGGGCGAUUCACUGUUGUUCAGAUGUGCAAUAAAUGUAGACAAGUGGUUUCUAUGUAAAUAUCACCAUCUCUGCCACAACAGUUAUUAGUUACUCAAGGAAAUAACUGUAAUAUUAAUGUUCCUGAGGGUGUUCAACAAAUUCAUGAGAUAAUAGUGUUUGCAUUGAUCGUUCACACUGCAUUAAGCAAGUCUUAGAAUUUUAUGUAUGUUUGUUUGGGUUUGCCUGAUAAGGUAGAAGACUAUUGAUGCCAAAAUGAAAUUCAAUCCUACAUGUUAUCUCCGUACAUUGUAAUCCAUGGUGCAUUUAAUAUUGGCACGUUUUCAUCUUGUUAUAAUGAAAAAACCUAUUAACCAUAUGAUCGAUUACUUUUCACUAUGGCACACAAUUCUCUUGUCAAUUUAAAAUGCAAUACAAAGCAUUUUAAUGUACUUCCACAGAUUGCAUUUCAUAAUUAAAAGCAAAGCAAACGUAUUGCAUUUUGCUUACCGUCUUCUCUGAGUGUACUGCAUAUCGAUUAAAGACCACAUAUUAAUUAAUGCCAAAACUAAUCAAAUAGCCAGUCAGUGUCAAAAUGUGGGGCAACAGUCAACAGUUUGGGUAAGUGGUGUUCACCUUCUAAACAUUUCUAUGUUCUGGCGCAAAGUGGAAUGAUUAAACAAAACUGUGAGAAGUAUGUUUUAGGUCUUGCUGAAAAAGUUUACUUUUAAGUUGCUUAACUAAUGUGUUAUGAUUGUCUUGUAUCAUAAUACUUAUAUAUUAUUAUCAGUCCUGACUGAUAUGUCAAGAAGUACGGCCUCUUACCACACCUAUAUUCUACCCUUGCAGACCCCUAGGCGAUAAAGUGUUUUCACUAAUAAAGCAAAUACAUUUUUAUGUUUAAGUUAAUAAUUUAGGUUUCAAAGCCUUGGAAUUUUCAUGCAAAGGUUUUGGUAAAAUAUUUUUUUAUCUUUUCUUGCAUUAUUUUACCAAUUAUGUUAAUUCACUUAUUCUUUGUUUUAUUCAAUUACUCCACAUUAACAAAAUGUUUCCUUACUGCCAGAGCACAGAAAUGUUUAGAAGAACGACGCCUCUUACAUCAACAUUUGACACCCCUUACCCCAGCUUUUUACACUGAUUGACCAUUUGAUAGUAUUCACUUUUGGCAUGAUUAAUGUGUGGUCUGCAAUCGAUAUGUAAUAAACUCGGAGAAACCACUAAGCAAAAUGCAAUCCAUGUACUUUGCUAUCAGUUAUAGCUGUCAUUUAUGAUAUGUGAUCUAUGGACAUGAAUUAAAAUGUAAAACACCUUUUAUUGCAUUAGUGAAAAGCAGUUAAACAUUUGUAUGAUAUGUUUUUAGUUACACCAUAAAACUGUGCCAAAAUGAACUGCAUUGCAAUGUAGUUAACACGCUGGAUUGCGUUUAAUUUUGUCGUGGAUAAUCUUCCAUAGUGAUAAUGUA